rnacentral:rRNA from 1 species
GAUGAACGCUGGCGGCGUGCCUAAUACAUGCAAGUCGAGCGAACAGACGAGGAGCUUGCUCCUCUGAUGUUAGCGGCGGACGGGUGAGUAACACGUGGAUAACCUACCUAUAAGACUGGGAUAACUUCGGGAAACCGGAGCUAAUACCGGAUGAUAUUUUGAACCGCAUGGUUCAAUAGUGAAAGACGGUUUUGCUGUCACUUAUAGAUGGAUCCGCGCUGCAUUAGCUAGUUGGUAAGGUAACGGCUUACCAAGGCAACGAUGCAUAGCCGACCUGAGAGGGUGAUCAGCCACACUGGAACUGAGACACGGUCCAGACUCCUACGGGAGGCAGCAGUAGGGAAUCUUCCGCAAUGGGCGAAAGCCUGACGGAGCAACGCCGAGUGAGUGAUGAAGGUCUUCGGAUCGUAAAACUCUGUUAUUAGGGAAGAACAGAUGUGUAAGUAACUGUGCACAUCUUGACGGUACCUAAUCAGAAAGCCACGGCUAACUACGUG